GGCUCUAUUAAGAUCCCUAUUUUAGGAUAAGUAAACGGAGGCCUAGAGAAGGAAGUACCCUAAUAUCUUGUUCAAGGUCACAUCUCUAGAGAUGACAAAACCAAGAACAACAACCGCAGUAAUAAUAAGAGCUGACAUCUACUGAGCGCUCACCAGGCGCCAGGUGUCGUACCCGAAGGGCAUUCCCCCACUGAAUUCUCACAACCACCAGGGAGACACGAACAUCACUUCCAUCAUUGCCCAGAGGAUACGGAAACCCGCGGCUUCUGCGAAGGAUCCUAGGCUCGGUCUACCGCACCUCGCUUGCUUUUCACGACAGGCUCAUCCUCGAAUAGUCAGGGAACAAGCGAGCGGGUCAGGACGUCUCCACUCCGUCGCAGAAAAGGCUCGGGGGACCAUCUCCUGCCUCUUCCCCACGCACAAAGCCCGUGCGCGGCGCCACCGUGCGGUAGACGGCGGUAUCGCUCUUCCUGUGUUACCCGCUGCUGUUCACCUGCGGCCGGGUGGCAGGCAAAAGGAGACGCUGGGAGCGCCCUGCCCACGUGGAGGCCGCAGGAGGUGGGUCUGGAGGCCGGGGAGCUCGGGAAGUUGGGGCGCUUCCCACCCUGCCCGGCACUCGCUCACGCCCUUCUCUUCCUCCAGGUCUCCUGGGCGCCGGGCUGAGCCGCUGAACACGGGCACCCAGGCCUGGGGGCCUCCGGGCAAAGCAAAGGGGAGAGGGGGCAGCCGGCCCGGCGGCCUCUCCGCUCUUCCGAGCCCUUUCCACCGGCUAACUCAGCUCCGCGGGGCACGCACUUACUGGUGUGGGCACAGCCCUACUGUACAGAUGGGGAACUGAGGCUCAAGGCAUUUCGUAAAGGAACUUACUCGACGUUCUCACAGCUAGUGAGCACCAGAACCGGGCCUCGAACCUUGUCAGUCUGCGGGCAUCGUGCCUCACUCAGCUUUGGCCAAGUCCAACAAGCCUCGGUUCUCUCGCUGUAAACCGUAGACAAUCCUCCUCAGUUCAGCGUUUAUGAAUCUGCUCCAUCCCACACAGCCUGAGUGCCACACCCACCCUGCUCUGGACUUGCAGUUUUUUGAGCACAGUGAAGGGGAAAGACACAGAGCUCAGAGUGGCCCUUCUAAGAAUUCCCAUUCACCUACUUUUGUCUCUCAUGCUCUCUCUCUGAGACCUCCGAAGUCCUGGGGGGGAAGCCCCCCUGACAAACUCUUCCUCUGCCUCUCUGAACCCUCCAACUUCUCUCAGCUGUGGGUGCAAAAGCCCAAAGAACUAGCUGGGUAGCACAGAGCCUUCUCAGAGGCGACAGAGGGCAGGACUGCAGUGGGGGGGGGGGGGCUGCUAGGAACACCCUGUGCUAUUAGAGGGUUGUCCUCUCACUUGUCGCAUGGCUGGGACAAGGAUGAAAGGAGACCUUUGCUGCGAGCCCACCAACCCCCACGCAGUGAGGUCCCCACCAAGGGGGCUGGCAUUAGCAUUAUUAAUAACACGGCGCCUUCACUGCAGGCACCAGGCGUGGCGCCCUAGAAUGAGCCGUUCAAUGUGUCUUUUUCAUCUCCGAAACAGCUCUGAUUGGAGGUGGCGAGUCAGCGGGGAACUAGGAUUCACUGUGCACAGUCCCGUCCCCCUCAGGGCCUCUGUUUCUCCAUCUGGAAAUGAGGAGUUUGGACUCACCCAAUGGUUUCCAGACAUUUGAUUCCCAGGCCUGGAGCCUGGGGCCCCAGUGCCCAUCUGGGCUCGAUUUACGGGGUACCAGCGGCGGCGGCACCCUCAUGGCCAAGAUCGGUCCCUUUCUGGGCUGCACCGUCCACAGGCACCUUGAAAGCAGUGGGCAGGAGGUGGAGGAGUAGCCGGCACCUCCCAGGGACCCCCUCCCUCCUUGCCCUCCUUCUAACACUUGGAGUCCAGAGCUUUCUCUGCCAUUCUCAACAACCUAAACAUGAAAACGAGAAUAAAGUCCUCUCAGA
ensembl:lincRNA